CCAUCCAUUUAUUUAUGUGUUCUUUUUUUUUUUUUUUUUUUUUUGAGACGGAGUCUCGCUCUCUCACCCAGGCUGGAGUGCAGUGGCGCGAUCUCGGCUCACUGCAAGCUCCGCCUCCCGGGUUCACGCCAUUCUCCUGCCUCAGCCUCUCCGAGUAGCUGGGACUACAGGCGCCCCCCACCACGCCCGGCUAAUUUUUUUUUUGUAUUUUUAGUAGAGACAGGGUUUCACCGUGGUCUCGAUCUCCUGACCUCAUGAUCCGCCCACCUCGGCCUCCCAAAGUGCUGGGAUUACAAGCGUGAGCCACCGCGCCCGGCCUAUUUAUGUGUUCUUUAACUUCUUUCAGUGAUCUUUUGUAGUGUUUUUGCAACCUCCGCUUCCCGAGUUCAAGCAAUUCUUCUGCCGCAGCCUCCUUAGUAGCUGGGAUUACAGGCAUGCACCACCAUGCCCAGCUAAUUUUUGUAUUUUUAGUAGAGACAGGGCUUCACCACAUUGGACAGGCUGCUCUUGAACUCCUGACCUCAAGUGAUCCACCAGCCUUGGCCUCCCAAAGUGCUGGGAUUACAGGUGUGAGCUGUCAUGCCUGUAUCUAUUGAAUAGACCUUCCUUUUCCAAUUGAAUGAUAUAUUAGCUUGGGCUGCCGUAAGAAAAUACGGACUAGGUGGCUUGGCAUAAGCAACAGAAAUUUAUUUCUCACAAUUCCGGAGGCUGGGAAGAUAAGGUACCGGCCUGUUCAGUUCCCAGUAAGGGUUCUCUUCCUGGCUUGCAGAUGGCUGUUUUCUUGCUGUGUUCUUACAUGGUGGAGAGAGACAGAUCUCUGGUAUCUCUUCUUCUUUUAGAGGCACCAGCCCUAUUGCAUUAGGGCCCCACCCUAUGGUCUCACUUAACCUAUAUCACCUUCUCACAGCCACUCUCUCCCACAUUAGGGGUUGGGGCUUCAACAUACAAAAUUUGGUGGGACCCAAACGACAAAGGGUCUAAGCAUCCUUGCUGAAAGUCAACUGAUAAGGCUUUAUUUCUGGGCUCUCUAUUGAAUUACAUUUUAUUUCCUAUCAUGCCAGUAUCACAUUGAUUUUUAUUGUAGCUUUGUAUUAAGUUUUGAAAUCAGGAAGUGUGAGUCCUCCAACUUUGUUCUUUUUCAAGAUUGUUUUGGCUAUUUGGGGUCACUUGCCAUUCCAUAUGAAGUUCAGGAUAGUCCUUUUUUUCUUGUUUUCUUUGAAGCAGGAUCUCAUUCUGUCAUCCAGGCUGGAGUGCCAUGGCACAAACUCAGCUCACUGCAGCCUCGACCUCAUGGGCUCAAGCGACCCUUCCAUCUCAGCUUCCUGAGUAGCUGGGACUACAGCUAGAAGAUCAGGUCAGGUUUGAGGCCUGGAAAUUCUGCUGGCGGAGAAGGAAACACAACACGUCCAUUUCUGCUGAGAACCAAAGCCUAUGGUCUGCAGAGAGCAGGCAGAGAGAUUCAGCUGGACCAGAAAUGGGUUCUCACUAUGUUGGCCAGGCUGCCUGAAUUUUGGUGUUUUUGUACGUGGAAACUGGUGAUGCAAGUAUUGAAUGUACCUCAUGCAGCCAGAGGAAGAUACAGAUGGAUUGCCAUCCGUCCCCCAGGGUAACGAUUCCUGAUGAAGUCGCUCUCUUCCCACCACUCCUCCUGAGAGGGUACAGUGGAAGGAAGGGUCUGAAUUUUCCUCCGCAGAAUUUCCCAAGACACAGGUAUAUUUGUCAUGAAUGUGAGGAGUGAGAACAAGGGCCUGCCCUGGCCCCCAGUCUGAAUGCCCUCUCUGGCACUGCUUGCUGUGGGUGUUAGGCCCAGUUAAAUUUUUGUUGUUGUUGAUGGAGUCUCACUCUGUCGCCCAGGCUGGAGUGCAGUGGUAUGAUCUCGGCUCACUGCAACCUCCACCUCCCGGGUUCAAGCGAUUCUCCUGCCUCAGCCUCCCGAGUAGCUGGGAUUACAAGCAUGCACCACCACUCACGGCUAAUUUUUUGUAGUUUUAGUAGAGAUGGAGUUUCACCACGUUGGCCAGGCUAGUCUCAAACUCCUGACCUCAGUUGAUCCGCUCACCUCCGCCUCCCAAAGUGCUGGGAUUAUAGGCGUGAGCCACCACGCCCAGCCAAUGGGUAAAUAUGCUGAGUAUGUAUUUCUAAAGGUUUGAACACAGAAGAAAGGUCUGAGAUGGAAUUUUUUUAAGUGGGAUAAUUUACAUGUAAGUAGCAGUUGAAGAAAUGAGACAAGGUAAGCUCUCUUAGAGGAAAAUGUAGAAUAAAGUAAGGAGAAUGCCCAGGGCAGACACUGACUAGAAGAGAAAGUAGCAAAGGAGAUUGAGAGUGGUUGGCAGAAAAUGAAGGAAGGGUGGUAUUAUUGAUGAUAAGGAAAUCGAGUGUUCCAAGAAGGAUGGACAGUUCAUGGUGUCAAAUAUUGCUGAGGGGUCAAGUAAAGGAAAACUAAAAAAUGCCCACUGGUGGCCAGGCACUGUGGCUCACACCUGUAAUCCCAGCACUUUGGGAGGCCGAAGCAGGUGGAUUACUUGAGGUCAGGAGUUUGAGACCAGCCUGGGCAACAGAGCAAGACCCUGUCUCUACCAAAAAAAUACAAAAAAUUAGCCAGAUGUGGUGGCACGCAUCUGUGAUCCCAGCUACUCAUGAGGCUGAGGCUGAGGUGGGAGGAUUGCUUGAGCCCGGGGAGGUGAAGGUUGCAGUGAGCUGAGAUUGUGCCACUGCACUCCAGCCUGGGUGACAGAGAGAGACCCUGUCUCAAAGGAAAAAAAAAGCCCACUGGUUUUUGGGCUUGGUUACAGCUGCGGACACACCACUGCCUGGCUGCAGUGUGGCGCUGGUGCCUCAGCAGCACCGUGGCCACCAUCUGUGCUUUCUGUCAUCUGGCCCCUAUGGUUUGCUGUCAUCUUGUGUGUCUAGGGACACAGGCUGCUGAUCAUGCUGUAGCUGUUUGAGUAAGAAAUAAACAAUCUAGGCUGGGCACAGUGGCAAACGCCUGUAAUCGUAGCACUUUGGGAGGCCGACGCGGGUGGAUCACUUGAGGUUAGGAGUUUGCCACCAGCCUGACUAACAUGGUGAAACCCCGUCUCUACGAAAUAAAAAAAAAUUAGCUGGACAUGGUCAUACAUGCCUGUAAUCCGAGCUACUUGGGAGGCUGAGACAGGAGAAUCACUUGUACCUGGGAGGUGGAGGUUGCAGUAAGCCAAGAUCUCACCAUUGCGCUCCAGAGUGGGCAACAAGAGUGAAACUCCGCCUCAAAAAGAAAGAAAGAAAGAAACAAUCUAUAUCCUUUGUACUCAUUGCUGACCAAAUCCACGUAAAUAUGGCAAACCAGCCUAGCAUCUGUGGCAGUGACGCUGGUAACCCUGUCAGCUGCUGGAUUGCUGCCUAGGGACUGCUUGGAUGCUUGGCAGUUGGUAGCCCUGUUAAAUAGGAAAUAUCCAUUAGGAGAGCCUGCCCCCACCAGUCACAGAGUGAUUACACGCCCCCUGUAGGAGAUGUGAACAAGAAAAAGAAAAAAUCAAAUAUUCUGCAGUCUUACAACUAGUAUGAUGUAUUUAUUUUCAGCUUUUUAUAUACGUUUUUCAAGCACUUCCCAAGUAUUUAUAGAGUACUUACUAUGUUCCAGGCUGGUGGCUGAGCAGUGAACAAACCAACCUAGGUCCCUAUAUCUGGAAACCUUCUUAAGUUUGUGAACUUAAACACCCAUAUAUACAAUUGAGAUCGUAUCAUAAAUAUAAUUUUGUAUUAUAUUUUUCACAUUCUAUUUCAUAAGCAUUACCCUCUGCCAAUAAAUUUUUUCAAAUACCACACAUAAUGGCUGCAUAAUGUUCAAUUGAGUGUACAGAAGACAAUAGAUUUAUCUAUUUCUGUGCUGCAAAAAGCAUAAUUAUCUUCCAUUUCCCCUUCUAUGAAUAACUAGGUAUUUUCCAAAUUCUCCCCAUUAUUUAAAAAAAAAACACACACACAACAAACUCUGGGAUGGGCACCCUUCUCAUUGUAACUUUUGUUAUUUCCAUAGGAUAGAUUCCUAGAUUAAUUGAAGUGUUUAAGGCUCUUUAUGUACAGCUUAAUUCAUUUUCAACAUUGUACUAAACACGCCCCUGCAAGCAUAGCAGUGUGUAAUUCUCCACAAUUUCCCCAGCACUGGUAUUAAUAAUGUAAGGCAUCUUCUUAAUCAUGUGUGACUUUGCAUGGUGCUUUAGGCUUCUAGACAUUCUCCAUCCUCGUUGAUUACCUCAAGUUCAGAUAUAAAAUUUGUGCCUUGAUUCUAACGGAGCGUCCGGGGCCCACACUAUA